GAUGAACGCUGGCGGCGUGCCUAAUACAUGCAAGUCGAGCGAACAGACGAGGAGCUUGCUCCUCUGACGUUAGCGGCGGACGGGUGAGUAACACGUGGAUAACCUACCUAUAAGACUGGGAUAACUUCGGGAAACCGGAGCUAAUACCGGAUAAUAUAUUGAACCGCAUGGUUCAAUAGUGAAAGACGGUUUUGCUGUCACUUAUAGAUGGAUCCGCGCCGAAUUAGCUAGUUGGUAAGGUAACGGCUUACCAAGGCAACGAUGCGUAGCCGACCUGAGAGGGUGAUCGGCCACACUGGAACUGAGACACGGUACAGACUCCUACGGGAGGAAGCAGUAGGGAAUCUUCCGCAAUGGGCGAAAGCUUGACGGAGCAACGCCGCGUGAGUGAUGAAGGUCUUCGGAUCGUAAAACUCUGUUAUUAGGGAAGAACAAAUGUGUAAGUAACUAUGCACGUAUUGACGGUACCUAAUCAGAAAGCCACGGCUAACUACGUG
rnacentral:rRNA from 1 species